UACGAAGGGGGCUAGCGUUGCUCGGAAUCACUGGGCGUAAAGCGCACGUAGGCGGACUCUUAAGUCGGUGGUGAAAUCCUGGAGCUCAACUCCAGAACUGCCUUCGAUACUGAGAGUCUCGAGUCCGAGAGAGGUGAGUGGAACUGCGAGUGUAGAGGUGAAAUUCGUAGAUAUUCGCAAGAACACCAGUGGCGAAGGCGGCUCACUGGCUCGGUACUGACGCUGAGGUGCGAAAGCGUGGGGAGCAAGCAGG
rnacentral:rRNA from 1 species